rnacentral:rRNA from 1 species
UACGGGGGGGGCAAGCGUUGUUCGGAAUUACUGGGCGUAAAGGGCUCGUAGGCGGCCAACUAAGUCGGAUGUGAAAUCCCCAGGCUUAACCUGGGAACUGCAUCCGAUACUGGAUGGCUUGAAUCCGGGAGAGGGAUGCAGAAUUCCAGGUGUAGCGGUGAAAUGCGUAGAUAUCUGGAGGAACACCGGUGGCGAAGGCGGCAUCCUGGACCAAUACUGACGCUGAGGAGCGAAAGCCAGGGGAGCAAACGGG